ensembl:lncRNA
CAUGGCUCACGAAGACAAGAAGGAAUACUCCGGGUGGAACUUUAUUGAAGCUAUAUGUUGAAAACGUCCUAAUGAUUGAUUCUGUACUUAGUUUGAAAUGUUUCUUCGACAGACAUCUUCGAACAAAACAAAUAUUUAUUGUGGACCUGGGAUUCCUGGAGUGCUUUCUGAUGUAGAUCAUCACAGGCAAAUGAUCAGUCUCAGACUAUGGAGAAGACUGGUGUGGAACUAUCUGGAUGUGAGUUGGCUGCUGUGAAUGGAAUGGACUACCAGCUAGCUGCUGAGCUUCGUACGUGAACUUUGAGAGAAGCCUCAAAAGUCUGCUGUCUACCUGGAAGGUGUUUCAAAGACGGGGAGAAAGUCUUAAAACCGUGAACAGAGACGAGGAGAGUUCAUUGAGAGCACAUCACUUCCAGAUGGCCUU